rnacentral:rRNA from 1 species
AUUGAACGCUGGCGGCAGGCCUAACACAUGCAAGUCGAGCGAGUGGCGGACGGGUGAGUAAUGCCUGGGAAACUCGCUUAUGGAGGGGGAUAACUACGGGAAACUGUAGCUAAUACCGCAUACCAUAAGAUGAGCCCAAGUGGGAUUAGGUAGUUGGUGGGGUAACGGCUCACCAAGGCGACGAUCCCUAGCUGGUCUGAGAGGAUGACCAGCCACACUGGGACUGAGACACGGUCCAGACUCCUACGGGAGGAAGCAGUGGGGAAUAUUGCGCAAUGGGGGCAACCCUGAUGCAGCCAUGCCGCGUGAAUGAAGAAGGCCUUCGGGUUGUAAAGUACUUUCGGUAGGGAGGCGUUACCUACAGAAGAAGCACCGGCUAACUCCGUGCCAGCAGCCACGGUAAUAC